UCUGUGGAUCGUUAUAUCAAAUGAGAGUAGUUAGUAGCAAUGAGCAAUCAUCGUUACAACAAAAUCAGACGGGAUGAAACAGAAA
rnacentral:sRNA from 12 species